AUAGGGGUGCUCUUAUGUUGCUCUGAAUGAGCACGAAGAAGCUGAGAACAUACCCUAAAACUUGAUCCGGAUAAUGCCGGCGUAAGGAAUGAAAUU
rnacentral:ncRNA from 1 species